rnacentral:misc_RNA from 1 species
AAAUAGGAAGCAGAUUAGUCUCAGGCAAAACCAGUCUUAAUACAUGGUAGUAAGAAAACAGUCUUAGUUAAGUCUUAAACAGGAAGCAUCAAACACAUUAACACAGUAGCAUUAAAACCAUAAACACAAACCACCAUUACUGCAUUAAGUUUAUAUAUAUGUAUGUAUUUAUACGCUUUUAAAGAGGAAGCCAGCGCUGAUUCUGAUGGUGGCUCACCAGGUCAUCCAGCAUCCACAGUUCCACCGACUCAGUUGUCUCACAGCUGCUUCCACUCAACUGAGCCUCCAUCUUCUCUGGCUCCAAUCCCAGAAACGUUUCCAGGCUCGAGAUGUGCUCUUUCAGCUCAUAAUCACUCCCCAAUAAUUCCUUUUGAUGUCCAAGACCCAUGUAUUGCUGCGGUGCUGUCACAGCGCUGCUGCUGCUGCUGCUGCAGCUUUCGAAGCUUGCAGCAGGAGACAUCUCAGGAGCCAUCAUCAUCAGGCAACGCUUCUUGGAUGGUGGUUGUGGUGGUGGUGGAGCUUGAGUUGCGGAUGGUGACUGCCCAAAAUUGAGCUUUGCCUUGUCUCCACGGAUGCGCUUCGCUGCCUCAUCAUAGGCUCUGGCAGCUUCUUCAGCUGUGUUAUAAGUACCGAGCCAGACACGAACACCCUUGUGUGGGUCUCUGAUCUCAGCAGCCCAUUUUCCCCAAGGCCUUUGCCUUAUUCCUCUGUAAAUAUUCUUGCGAAUUCUCCGAGUCUUGUUCCCUUCCAUUACAGUGCUAGCUUUCUCAGUUUUCUCAACUUGGUUGAGCUUCAGCUUCGGCUUUUCAUGGAGUUUAAGAUCCAACUUGGUAGAUAUCUGGUCUUUAUUGGCAUUAUUAGGGUAGUCCAAGCCAAGAAAGUCAGAGAAGGUAUCCAGCUCAGACCAGAGAUCCUCGGCGUUCAAUUGCCGUCUGGGUUUCACGGCUACGAAAUCGGAGAUAAUAGCACCACCACACAUGUUUCCGAGUAGCGUAUCGAGGUGAGAGUCAGAAAACAGAGAAAGGACUCUG